UGGGGAAUAUUGGACAAUGGGGGCAACCCUGAUCCAGCAAUGCCGCGUGAGUGAUGAAGGCCUUAGGGUUGUAAAGCUCUUUUGGCGGGGACGAUGAUGACGGUACCCGCAGAAUAAGCCCCGGCUAACUUCGUGCCAGCAGCCGCGGUAAUACGAAGGGGGCGAGCGUUGUUCGGAAUUACUGGGCGUAAAGGGCGCGUAGGCGGCGAUCCUAGUCAGAUGUGAAAGUCCUGGGCUUAACCUGGGGACUGCAUUUGAUACUGGAUUGCUUGAAUUCGGGAGAGGAUAGCGGAAUUCCCAGUGUAGAGGUGAAAUUCGUAGAUAUUGGGAAGAACACCGGUGGCGAAGGCGGCUAUCUGGACCGACAUUGACGCUGAGGCGCGAAAGCGUGGGGAGCAAACAGG
rnacentral:rRNA from 1 species